AGAGUUUGAUCCUGGCUCAGGAUGAACGCUGGCGGCGUGCCUAAUACAUGCAAGUCGAGCGAACCACUUCGGUGGUGAGCGGCGAACGGGUGAGUAACACGUAGGUCAUCUGCCCAUCAGACGGGGACAACGAUUGGAAACGAUCGCUAAUACCGGAUAGGACGAAAGUUUAAAGGUGCUCUUGGCACCGCUGAUGGAUGAGCCUGCGGCGCAUUAGCUAGUUGGUAGGGUAAAGGCCUACCAAGGCGACGAUGCGUAGCCGACCUGAGAGGGUGAACGGCCACACUGGGACUGAGACACGGCCCAGACUCCUACGGGAGGCAGCAGUAGGGAAUCUUCGGCAAUGGGCGAAAGCCUGACCGAGCAACGCCGCGUGAAUGAUGAAGGCCUUCGGGUUGUAAAAUUCUGUUAUAAGGGAAGAACGACUUUAGUAGGAAAUGGCUAAAGUGUGACGGUACCUUAUGAGAAAGCCACGGCUAACUACGUGCCAGCAGCCGCGGUAAUACGUAGGUGGCAAGCGUUAUCCGGAAUUAUUGGGCGUAAAGAGCGCGCAGGUGGUUGAUUAAGUCUGAUGUGAAAGCCCACGGCUUAACCGUGGAGGGUCAUUGGAAACUGGUCGACUUGAGUGCAGAAGAGGGAAGUGGAAUUCCAUGUGUAGCGGUGAAAUGCGUAGAGAUAUGGAGGAACACCAGUGGCGAAGGCGGCUUCCUGGUCUGUAACUGACACUGAGGCGCGAAAGCGUGGGGAGCAAACAGGAUUAGAUACCCUGGUAGUCCACGCCGUAAACGAUGAGUGCUAAGUGUUGGGGGUCGAACCUCAGUGCUGAAGUUAACGCAUUAAGCACUCCGCCUGGGGAGUACGGUCGCAAGACUGAAACUCAAAGGAAUUGACGGG
rnacentral:rRNA from 1 species